rnacentral:rRNA from 1 species
GACGAACGCUGGCGGCGUGCCUAAUACAUGCAAGUUGAGCGAUGAAGAUUGGUGCUUGCACCAAUUUGAAGAGCAGCGAACGGGUGAGUAACGCGUGGGGAAUCUGCCUUUGAGCGGGGGACAACAUUUGGAAACGAAUGCUAAUACCGCAUAACAACUUUAAACAUAAGUUUUAAGUUUGAAAGAUGCAAUUGCAUCACUCAAAGAUGAUCCCGCGUUGUAUUAGCUAGUUGGUGAGGUAAAGGCUCACCAAGGCGAUGAUACAUAGCCGACCUGAGAGGGUGAGCGGCCACAUUGGGACGGAGACACGGCCCAAACUCCUACGGGAGGCAGCAGUAGGGAAUCUUCGGCAAUGGACGAAAGUCUGACCGAGCAACGCCGCGUGAGUGAAGAAGGUUUUCGGACCGUAAAACUCUGUUGGUAGAGAAGAACGUUGGUGAGAGUGGAAAGCUCAUCAAGUGACGGUAACUACCCAGAAAGGGACGGCUAACUACGUG